rnacentral:lncRNA from 1 species
GAGCAGCCGGACCAGGGGCAGGGAAUCGUCGAUGCAGCUCUGGGAAUGCGGGAAUGGGAUUCGGAAUAAUGGGAACGGGAAUGGUGGGAAUGGGAAUGGUGGGAAUAACGGAAAUGGGAAUAACAGGAUUGGGAAUAAUGGGAUUGGGAUUGGGAAUGGUGAGAUUGGGAUUGGGAACAAUGGGAUUGGGAACAAUGGGAUUGGGAACAAUGGGAUUGGGAUUGGGACUGGGGUGGGAUUCAGGGUGCUGGGAUGUUGGGGGUUUAUGGGAUGGGAAGGAUGUGGAAAACGGGACGCCGGGAUUUGGGAUCAGCGGGGGAGAGCGGAAGGGAAGGAUCUGGAGCUGGGACGGGAAAGAUUUGGGGUUACCGGGAUCAGGAAAGGAUUUGGGAUCACCAGAAAUGGGAUGUGGAAAAAACAUGGAUCUGGGAU